UUCUUAGAAUGAAAAUGCAGAAUGUGCUGGGGGAGGGGAGGAUGGAAGGCUAGCCUGGAGGAAUAAAUAGAAGAGGAUAAAGCUCUGGUGGGCCAUUUGUUGGAAGAGUACAGGAUGUACUUGGAAAAUGCUGUGUUGGCCUUUCAAUGCCCCAUUUAAAGAAAACCAAACAAAAAAAAAACAAACAACAUACAGCUCACAUUCAUUUUGCAAGAGUGCCUGAUUCUCCCUUUGAGAAGGUGAAGAUAAGCCCCAUGGGGGAAUCGGGGUAGGCAGAGCAUAUAACUUGUUCUAUUUACUCCCAAAUCAAAUCAGGCCUCAGACAACAAAGCCAGAUGACUAUGAAGGUCAGUGUUAGGAGAAAACUCACCAUUCCUCAUCAAGAUAUAAUCUCUCCUCCUGGACAAUGGGGUUGGGGAAAACUGUCCAGAGAGUGGUCGGAGCCCAGCAGGGAGAGCAGAUCUUCAAAACUGGAGGAAGGCGAGGAAGGAAGAAGUAAAGGAGCCCUGGAGCAGUGUCCUAAAACUGGAGCCAAAUCACCUUAUUCCUACAACCCAUAGUUCCCUUCAGGCAUUACAAACAGCUAUGAAAACAUCUGAGAGUCUUCCCUCCAUAAGCCCCUCAAAUCUUCUUCAAGCCCAUCUGUUGACCCAGGUCUCUUGAUAGAGAAAAACAGCUUUGUCAGAUUCCCUUUCUGGAGUUAUUUUCUUGCCUUAUCUUCCCUCCCCAAGCAUACUCUUUUCAGAAGACUUGGGUUCUAAUUCCUGCUCUGCUAGUGUCUCCUGUGUUACCUUGGGCAAGUCACCUAACUGCUCUAUGCCUCAGUUUCCUCAUCUGGAAAAUGGGGAUUCCAAACUGUUCUUUCUCCUACUUAGACUGUGAGCCCCAUAUGGCAUAGGGACUGUGUCUGACCUGAUUCCCUUGUAUCUAUUCUAGCACUAGAUUAGGACGGGGCUAGAUUAAGACUAGGAGAGUGCUUGACGAAUAGGA
rnacentral:lncRNA from 1 species